GAGGGUGCGAGCGUUAAUCGGAAUUACUGGGCGUAAAGCGUGCGUAGACGGUUAUUUAAGUCGGGUGUGAAAGCCCCGGGCUCAACCUGGGAAUUGCAUUCGAGACUGAAUAGCUAGGGUACGGUAGAGGGAAGUGGAAUUUCCGGUGUAGCAGUGAAAUGCGUAGAUAUCGGAAGGAACAUCAGUGGCGAAAGCGACUUCCUGGACCGGUACCGACGUUCAGGCACGAAAGCGUGGGGAGCAAACAGGAUUAGAUACCCUGGUAGUCCACGCCAUAAACGAUGAGGACUAGACGUUGGAGGGGUAAGCCUUUCAGUGUCGUAGCUAACGCGCUAAGUCCUCCGCCUGGGGAGUACGGCCGCAAGGUUG
rnacentral:rRNA from 1 species